UACGGAGGGGGCAAGCGUUGUUCGGAAUUACUGGGCGUAAAGGGCGCGCAGGCGGCUGCUCAAGUCAGGCGUGAAAGGCCUGGGCUCAACCCGGGAAUUGCGCUUGAGACUGGGCUGGCUUGAGUGCGGGAGAGGAUGGUGGAAUUCCCAGUGUAGAGGUGAAAUUCGUAGAUAUUGGGAAGAACACCUGAGGCGAAGGCGGGUUGCUGGGCCGACACUGACGCUGAGGCGCGAAAGCCAGGGGAGCAAACGGG
rnacentral:rRNA from 1 species